rnacentral:rRNA from 1 species
CCUACGGGUGGCAGCAGUGAGGAAUAUUGGUCAAUGGACGCAAGUCUGAACCAGCCAUGCCGCGUGCAGGAAGACGGCUCUAUGAGUUGUAAACUGCUUUUGUACGAGGGUAAACGCAGAUACGCGUAUCUGUCUGCAAGUAUCGUACGAAUAAGGAUCGGCUAAUUCCGUGCCAGCAGCCGCGGUAAUACGGAGGAUUCAAGCGUUAUCCGGAUUUAUUGGGUUUAAAGGGUGCGUAGGCGGUCGGAUAAGUUAGAGGUGAAAUCCCGAGGCUCAACUUCGGAAUUGCCUCUGAUACUGGUCGGCUAGAGAGUAGUUGCGGUAGGCGGAAUGUAUGGUGUAGCGGUGAAAUGCUUAGAGAUCAUACAGAACACCGAUUGCGAAGGCAGCUUACCAAGCUACUUCUGACGUUGAGGCACGAAAGCGUGGGGAGCAAACAGGAUUAGAUACCCCAGUAGUC